AAAGGAGGCGAGGCGACCGCGGCACGGCCGAGUUUGCUCGGCGCGUGCUGAGGAAAGUCCGGGCUCCCCCAUGGCCAGGCCUGCUGGGUAACGCCCAGUGCGGGUGACCGUGAGGAUAGUGCCACAGAAACACACCGCCGAUGGCCCCGGCUUUUGCCCCGGCACAGGUAAGGGUGCAAAGGUGCGGUAAGAGCGCACCAGCAGCAUCGAGAGGUGCUGGCUCGGUAAACCCCAGCCGGGAGCAAGGCGAAGAACCAAGGUUGGCCAUGUGCCGGUUCUGCUCAAACAUGCCGCUUGAGGCCUGUGGUAACACAGGUCCUAGAGAGAUGGUCGCCCCUGGGGAGGAAUGCAUUCCAUGGAGACCUCCCCAGGAACAGAACCCGGCUUAUGUCCUGCUUUCCAC
rnacentral:RNase_P_RNA from 2 species